rnacentral:tRNA from 1 species
GUAGAGCAGAGGACUGAAAAUCCUCGUGUCACCAGUUCAAAUA